rnacentral:misc_RNA from 1 species
UUGAUUCAUGUUUCAUGUUCAGACGACGGACGGAUUACGGCAUUAAGACGGCGCCGGAGCGCCGAAGCACGGAUCGCUUCCACUGGUUUGGAGGUUGAAGGCCGAGUCGGCCGUUCGAUAAUGAUCCCUCCGCAGGUUCACCUACGGAGA